UACGUAGGGGGCAAGCGUUGUCCGGAUUCAUUGGGCGUAAAGAGCGUGUAGGCGGCCAGGUAGGUCGGUUGUGAAAACUGGAGGCUCAACCUUCAGACGUCGACCGAAACCAUCUGGCUAGAGUCCGGGAGAGGAGAGUGGAAUUCCUGGUGUAGCGGUGAAUGCGCAGAUAUCAGGAAGAACACCCGUGGCGUAAAGGCGGCUCUCUGGAACGGUACUGACGCUGAGACGCGAAAGCGUGGGGAGCGAACAGG
rnacentral:rRNA from 1 species